rnacentral:rRNA from 1 species
GAUGAACGCUGGCGGAAUGCUUUACACAUGCAAGUCGAACGGCAGCACGGACUUCGGUCUGGUGGCGAGUGGCGAACGGGUGAGUAAUGUAUCGGAACGUGCCCAGUCGUGGGGGAUAACGUAGUGAAAAUUACGCUAAUACCGCAUACGAUCUAUGGAUGAAAGCGGGGGAUCGCAAGACCUCGCGCGAUUGGAGCGGCCGAUAUCAGAUUAGGUAGUUGGUGGGGUAAAGGCCCACCAAGCCAACGAUCUGUAGCUGGUCUGAGAGGACGACCAGCCAGACUGGAACUGAGACACGGUCCAGACUCCUACGGGAGGCAGCGGUGGGGAAUUUUGGACAAUGGGCGAAAGCCUGAUCCAGCCAUUCCGCGUGCAGGAUGAAGGCCCUCGGGUUGUAAACUGCUUUUGUACAGAACGAAAAGGUUUCUACUAAUACUAGGAGCUCAUGACGGUACUGUAAGAAUAAGCACCGGCUAACUACGUGCCAGCCGCCGCCGUAA